GCUGUCGUCAGCUCGUGUUGUGAAAUGUUGGGUUAAGUCCCGCAACGAGCGCAACCCUUAUCCUUUGUUGCCAGCGGUCCGGCCGGGAACUCAAAGGAGACUGCCAGUGAUAAACUGGAGGAAGGUGGGGAUGACGUCAAGUCAUCAUGGCCCUUACGACCAGGGCUACACACGUGCUACAAUGGCGCAUACAAAGAGAAGCGACCUCGCGAGAGCAAGCGGACCUCAUAAAGUGCGUCGUAGUCCGGAUUGGAGUCUGCAACUCGACUCCAUGAAGUCGGAAUCGCUAGUAAUCGUGGAUCAGAAUGCCACGGUGAAUACGUUCCCGGGCCUUGUACACACCGCCCGUCACACCAUGGGAGUGGGUUGCAAAAGAAGUAGGUAGCUUAACCUUCGGGAGGGCGCUUACCACUUUGUGAUUCAUGACUGGGGUGAAGUCGUAACAAGGUAACCGUAGGGGAACCUGCGGUUGGAUCACCUCCUUACCUUAAAGA
rnacentral:rRNA from 1 species